ensembl:tRNA
GCUUUACCUGUGGGCGCAAUAGGCAGCGCGUUCGGCUGUUAACCGAAAGGUUGGUGGUUCGAGCCCACCCGAGAGCG